rnacentral:rRNA from 1 species
GAUAAACCGCGUGGACAGAAUGCUUAACACAUGCAAGUCGGAUGGAUAGGGAAGCUAAGCCUAGCUUAGAAGAAGUCAUGGCGGACGGGUGAGUAACGUGUAAAGAACUUGCCCUCUAGACUGGGAUAACAGAUAGAAAUGUCUGAUAAUACCGGAUAUUAUUGUUACAUGGCAUCAUGUAGGAAUGAAAGGAUAAGAUUGCUAGAGGAGAGCUUUGCAUCCUAUUAGCUAGUUGGUAAGGUAGCGGCUUACCAAGGCGAUGAUAGGUAGCCGGCCUGAGAGGGUGGACGGCCACAAGGGGACUGAGAUACGGCCCUU